AUUGAACGCUGGCGGCAGGCCUAACACAUGCAAGUCGAACGAGUGGCGGACGGGUGAGUAAUGUCUGGGAAACUGCCUGAUGGAGGGGGAUAACUAAUGGAAACGUUAGCUAAUACCGCAUACCAUCGGAUGUGCCCAGAUGGGACUAGCUAGUAGGUGGGGUAAAGGCUCACCUAGGCGACGAUCACAAGCUGGUCUGAGAGGAUGACGAGCCACACUGGAACGGAGACAAGGUCCAUACUCCUACGGGAGGCAGCAGUGGGGAUUAUUGCACAAUGGGCGCAAGCCUGAUGCAGCCAUGCCGCGUGUAUGAAGAAGGCCUUCGGGUUGUAAAGUACUUUCAGCGGGGAGGCGUUACCCGCAGCAGAAGCACCGGCUAACUCCGUGCCAGCAGCCGCGGUAAUAC
rnacentral:rRNA from 1 species